rnacentral:rRNA from 1 species
UACGAAGGGGGCGAGCGUUGUUCGGAAUUACUGGGCGUAAAGGGCUCGUAGGCGGUUUGUCGCGUCUGCUGUGAAAUCCCGAGGCUCAACCUCGGGUCUGCAGUGGGUACGGGCAGACUGGAGUGCGGUAGGGGAGAAUGGAAUUCCUGGUGUAGCGGUGGAAUGCGCAGAUAUCAGGAGGAACACCGAUGGCGAAGGCAGUUCUCUGGGCCGUAACUGACGCUGAGGAGCGAAAGCGUGGGGAGCGAACAGG